AUUCUCAUUAACUCAAAGGUAGAGUAUAAUAUUUAUAAUAUUAUGAUUUUAGUUCGAAUCUAAAAGGAGGAUGC
rnacentral:tRNA from 1 species